rnacentral:rRNA from 1 species
AGAAUCAACGCUGGCGGCGUGCCUAACACAUGCAAGUCGAACGCGAAAGCCCCGCAAGGGGUGAGUAGAGUGGCAAACGGGUGAGUAACACGUGGGUGACCUGCCUUCGAGUGGGGGAUAACGUCCCGAAAGGGACGCUAAUACCGCAUGACAUCCUGCUUUUGGAAAAGCGGAGAUCAAAGCCGGGGAUCGCAAGACCUGGCGCUUGAAGAGGGGCCCGCGCCUGAUUAGCUAGUUGGUGGGGUAAUGGCUCACCAAGGCGACGAUCAGUA